GUUCGCUAAUCUCGAAGUUCAUCUUUCGUCUCCUCUGUUUUCGCUUCUCAAUAAACAAACAAAAAUAAUAAUUCUCUUUCUCACGAAAAAAAAAGAAAGUAGAAAAAAUCUUGUUCCGCACUCUUUGCUGGGCUUGUACCAAUGUAGGUAAGCUUGAGAACUGAUCAGCGAUAACAAUGGCCAAGUGUCACCGGAACAACAUCGGAUCUCUCAUUCACGACCCUGCUCCCACCCCUUCUUCCGGCUACCAUUUCCGCCUCUGGAGCACCUUCUCCAGAUCCUCUUUCCGCAGGAAGAUCUUGCACGCCGUUAGCUGCGGCGGCAGCUCGCGUUACCGUCACGAGCUCCGAGAAGAGAACGAAGAAGAAAGAAGCUACGUCGUGACGGUGACGGAGAAGAAGUCAACGGUCAAACCGAGGGAAACAAAAGCCAACACCAUCGCCGCUGCGUUGAAUGGAGCAUCGUUCGAGGAGAAAGGGAAGAAGUCGGAGAAGCUCUGCGAUCUGCUGAAUCUUGCGGAGGUGGAAGCCGACGUGGAGACGAAGAUGAAGGAGGAAGCGCUCGAUGCGCUGAAGCGCGUGGUCGGGGAGCUACAGGCUGCGGCGGCGCGUGGAGUUGACGACGAAGACGGAGGAGGCUGUCGGAAGAAAGUAGCGGCGGCGAGCGAGGUGAGGUUGCUGGCGAAGGAGGAUCCGGAGGCGAGAGUGACGCUGGCGAUGCUCGGCGCGAUUCCGCCGCUUGUUAGUAUGAUCGACGAGUCGCGAAUCGCAGACGCUCAGAUCGCUUCGCUGUACGCACUGCUCAAUCUUGGCAUCGGUAACGACGCGAACAAAGCAGCAAUUGUUAAAGCAGGUGCGGUUCACAAGAUGCUGAAGCUGAUCGAGUCUCCAAACACACCUGAUCAAUCUAUCGCAGAAGCUGUGGUCGCUAACUUCCUCGGAUUAAGCGCUCUAGACUCGAACAAACCAAUCAUCGGUUCUUCAGGAGCAAUCAUCUUCCUAGUGAAAACUCUUCAGAACUUGGACGAAACAAGCAGCUCGCAAGCUAGAGAAGACGCGUUAAGAGCUCUCUACAACCUCUCUAUAUAUCAACCAAACGUUUCGUUCAUCCUCGAAACGGAUUUAAUCACGUUUCUCCUGAACACAUUGGGAGAUAUGGAAGUGAGCGAGAGGAUCCUCGCCAUCUUGAGCAAUUUAGUGGCAGUCCCGGAAGGAAGGAAAGCGAUCAGUUCAGUAUGCGAUGCCUUCCCGGUUCUGGUCGAUGUACUGAACUGGACUGACUCUCCAGGGUGCCAAGAGAAGGCGACUUACAUUCUAAUGUUGAUGGCUCACAAGGGAUAUGGAGAUAGACAAGCAAUGAUUGAGGCGGGAAUCGAAUCCUCGUUGCUAGAGUUGACCCUUUUGGGAAGUGCAUUGUCUCAAAAGAGAGCCUCGAGGAUAUUAGAGUGUCUUAGAGUAGACAAAGGGAAGCAAGUCUUGGAUAGUACCGGAUCAUGCGGAGCCUUAUCCGCACCGAUAUACGGGACCAGAGGCAACGGUUUGGACCACGAGGAAAGCGACUUGAUGAUGAGCGAAGAGAGGAAAGCAGUGAAGCAGUUAGUGCAACAGAGUUUACAGAGCAACAUGAAGAGAAUAGCAAAGAGAGCUAAUUUGCCACAAGAGUUUGUUCCUUCGGAGCAUUUUAAAUCACUCUCUAUAAGCUCCACUUCGAAGAGCCUCCCCUUUUGAGAAUUGGCAUCAGUUGUAAAUUCAUGCAAGAUUAGAGGGCACUGACUUAGUCACUCACAUGCACUUCACCAGUUUAUCAGACAUCAUCGAGACCCCACCCACAUAUCUUGUGUCCUAAAAUUACCAAGUUGCCAGCCUAAAGUGUCGGUCAUUUUCUUUUUCUUAAAGUGUCAUUUUGAAGUAAUUCCACGUUAAAAGAAGAAGAGUGUUGCUUCGACAGAUCUAUUCAGCUUUAGAAAACAGCCAAGCAGACACAAUCUAAUUAGCAUAUUGUGUACGGUGUACCCUACGUACGCUGUGUCGUUGAAUCCGUCCAUGUGGAGUUACUUUUCUUUUUGUUUGGGUGAGUGGUUUUGUUAAAAGUAAAAACUAGAUCUUGACCCGCGCUUUGGAAGCGCGGAAUAUUUUACGAUAAAAAAUUUCACUAAUAACUUAACAAAUAUUUUUGUAAUUUUUAAAGAGUCUGUAUUUAAAAUAUUUUUGCAUUUAAAUAAGUAUUUUUAAAUUCAACCCGA